AACGAGAAAGCCCCUUCGGGGGUGAGUAGAGUGGCGCACGGGUGAGUAACGCGUGGGUAAUCUGCCCUUGAGUUUGGGAUAACCUGUCGAAAGGCGGGCUAAUACCGGAUAAUAGCUGUUUCUGUUAGGGAGACAGGUCAAAGAUGGCUUCGGCUGUCGCUUGGGGAUGAGCCCGCGUCUCAUUAGCUAGUUGGUGGGGUAAAGGCCUACCAAGGCAACGAUGGGUAGCUGGUCUGAGAGGAUGAUCAGUCACACUGGAACUGAAACACGGUCCAGACUCCUACGGGAGGCAGCAGUGGGGAAUAUUGCGCAAUGGGGGAAACCCUGACGCAGCGACGCCGCGUGAGUGAGGAAGGCCUUCGGGUCGUAAAGCUCUGUCAGAGGGGAAGAAGAUACUAAGGUUAAGAGCUGUAGUAUUUGACGGUACCCUCAAAGGAAGCACCGGCUAACUCCGUGCCAGCAGCCGCGGUAAUACGGAGGGUGCAAGCGUUGUUCGGAUUUAUUGGGCGUAAAGAGCAUGUAGGCGGUCUGUUAAGUCAGAGGUGAAAGCCCCGGGCUCAACCUGGGAAGUGCCUUUGAUACUGGCAGACUUGAGUACGGGAGAGGGUAGUGGAAUUCCAAG
rnacentral:rRNA from 1 species